rnacentral:lncRNA from 1 species
GAAUAUUUUAAAGCAAAUAUCAUCCUGGUGUUGAACUCUUAACUAUUUCAGUUUGAAUCGCUAGAAGACAAGAAAACUGAGGGUCAUGAAGAGACAACUUCCUCAUGGAUACACACCUACUAAGCAGCAGCGCCUGCAUGGAAAGGUAUGUCUGCCUGGAGCUUCAGAAUGUAAUCUUUUUUCGAAUACAAGUUUGUGAAGAUAUAAUCAAGGUAAGGGUCUCACGAUGAGAUCACCCUGGAUUAGAGAAGACUGAAUCCAAUGAUGAUGUCUUUAUAAGAAACAGAAAAAAAGACUCACGGCCCCAGGGAGAAAGCCACGCAGAGACGAGGAGGGAAUGGGGUUAGUUAUGAAGUCCGGAACCAGGGAAUGUGGAGAAAGCAGAGGCGGAAAGGAAUGAUUCUUUCUCAGAGCCUCCAGAGGCAAGCGGACCUGGACGACACCUAGAGUUUGAACUUACGGCCUUCAGAACUUUGAAGGCAAAACUUUCUGCUAUUUUAAGCCACCAGCUUUGAGACCAUUUGUCAGCGCAGCUUCAGGAAACUAAGACACCAGCUGCAUAAUUUCCUGAUAGUUUAAAAGUCACACCGACCUGAAGGUUGGUUCUCCUAG